rnacentral:rRNA from 1 species
UACGGAGGGUGCAAGCGUUAUCCGGAUUCACUGGGUUUAAAGGGUGCGUAGGCGGGCAGGUAAGUCCGUGGUGAAAUCUCUGAGCUUAACUCAGAAACUGCCAUGGAUACUAUUUGUCUUGAAUAUUGUGGAGGUAAGCGGAAUAUGUCAUGUAGCGGUGAAAUGCGUAGAUAUCGAGAGGAACACCAGUGGCGAAGGCGAGUCCCUGGACAACUCCUGACACUGAGGCACGAAAGCUAGGGGAGCAAACAGG